CCUACGGGAGGCAGCAGUGAGGAAUAUUGGUCAAUGGACGAGAGUCUGAACCAGCCAAGUAGCGUGAAGGAUGACUGCCCUAUGGGUUGUAAACUUCUUUUAUAUGGGAAUAAAAUGUUCCACGUGUGGGAUUUUGUAUGUACCAUAUGAAUAAGGAUCGGCUAACUCCGUGCCAGCAGCCGCGGUAAUACGGAGGAUCCGAGCGUUAUCCGGAUUUAUUGGGUUUAAAGGGAGCGUAGGUGGAUUGUUAAGUCAGUUGUGAAAGUUUGCGGCUCAACCGUAAAAUUGCAGUUGAAACGGGCAGUCGUGAGUACAGUAGAGGUGGGCGGAAUUCGUGGUGUAGCGGUGAAAUGCUUAGAUAGCACGAAGAACUCCGAUUGCGAAGGCAGCUCACUGGACUGCAACUGACACUGAGGCUCGAAAGUGUGGGUAUCAAACAGGAUUAGAUACCCCAGUAGUC
rnacentral:rRNA from 1 species